ensembl:lncRNA
UGACACUGCAGCAGCAUCUCCUAACACCGGGCUGGUCUGGGGUCCUGAAGGUGCAGAGGUCAUCAGAGGUGACAGCUUUGUCUUCACCUGCUCCAUUUCCUCCCACUUUCCUGGAGGGGUUUUCUCUCUCAUCUUCUCAGGCUGCAACAUUACCGAGACCAAGCCAGCUGUCAAUAACUCAGCCUCCUUUAGUUUUCCUGAAGCUGAUUAUGAACACCGGGGCAACUACAGCUGUGUGUAUGAAGUUACACUUUCCUCAAGGAAAUUUAUGUCAACUUCCACAGCAAUAAUGAGUAUCACCCUUAAAUUACCUGUCUUGUUGCUCGUCUCCUCAGUCUCUGCACCUCUGUUCAUGCUCCUGCUGGUCUUCCUUGUGACCUUCCUGGUUUGCAGGAGAAGGAAAAGAGUCAGGCAGCCUGAAGCCCUAGUCCAAAUUCAAAUGGCUCCCAGGAUCAAUGACGAGGAGGAGGAGCACUAUGUCAACCUUGAGCAGCAGUACACAAAGAAGAGGGCAGAUCAAGCACAAAGUGUAGAAAAAGAAGUGUGUGACGAGGAUCAUGAGUGGGAUGAAAAAGAUAGUCACAAUGAGUCGAAAGAAAGUGAUGAUAAAGAAGGAAAUAAAGACGAUAAUGUUUAUGAAUUGGAUAAGGACAACAUUUAUGUUACUUUAGAAGGCAGCAAAGAGGAAGAGGAGUGUCAUGCAGGCGACGCUGGUAUGAGAGAAGUUUCUGUAGAGCAAAAAACAAAAGAUUGUGAUGAUACUUACAUGAAUAUAGCCCAGGCUUUACCAGAUGAUAGUGUGGAUAUUUAUGGUGAACAGGAAGCUAUCAAAACUUUUAAUUUACUUUUUCAAAGAAUUCCAGUAGCUACCAUAGAGAAAGUAAAACUGACCUAUCCAUUUGAAGUUACCAAAGAUUUGAGCUUUGAAUCUGAGGUAUUCAAUGUCUCACUCUAACAUUUUGCGCGGUGUGUCAGUGACGCACCGGUGUUUUUGUUUCGUUCUUAGGAAAACUCAGAUUUUUAUAGGUAAUUCCGGUUUGUCAUAUGUGCCCUUAUCCAGUGCUUUUAUACCUGGAUCAGACAUCUGUUCCAUAUUUAUAUGAAGCCUGAAUUCAUAAAACUGAAUUUCCUGUGUAAUACCACGUUAUGAAAUCUUAAAACUUAGAAGCAGGCAAUUCACAGAGGUCAGUGUUAUUUAUUUUAACUGGCAUAAACAGGAUGUGACAAGUGAUAAUAAUUUAUUAAGGCUUUAUUAAGGCUGUUGUGUUUUUAACAUGUUUUAAUGCUUUGUAUCUUGUUCUAUUUAAUCUGAACAAGCCCCCAAAAACAGUCAUUGAUCACUGUCGGCCUCUCUCAGUUUUUAUUACCACUGUUUAUUUUAAAGCUCAGUUUUUAAAACUUUACGAUGUAACUACAGCCCAGCCCAUGGAGCAGUAAAUUAAUGACUAACCUCGUGUUGUGGAUGGAUUAUCUCAGUUGUUCUCCUGACUGAAGUUUGGUCCAUUUACAGCAUCCUGCCAUGUGAUUGCAUUUGUCCCUAACCAUCAGGAGCCCUCGCGUUAACUUUUAUCAAGUGGAAAAAGGUUAGCAUUCAUCCUCCAGCUUCACUGUUUAUAUUUUGCUAACAUAGCUGUGUCGCUAGCCCAACUUCAGUAACCCUACAAAUGUCACUGCUGUUUACUUUCCUGUCUUCAUUUAUGUUGGCAGUGAUAGCAAAGCUGUACAUUUUAAUUUUUCAGAAAUCCAUCUAUUAGAACAUGGUAUAUUAUUUCAUCUUUAAAUAAUCUUCUAGAGGGAGCGAGAACCACAGAACUAUAACAAACUACGCAACUUAAUUUUGCUCUUACACUUACAGUAAAUAUGCUAUUAGUAACUAUUUAAAGGGAAGUAUUAUCCUAAUUUCCAACUUCAUACUUUUUAUUUGUGGACUUCAGAGUGGCUGUCCUGUUCUUACUUUUGUUGUUGUUGUUGUUGUUGUUUUGUUUGUUUGUUUAGUUUUUUUUUUCUUUUUUCUGGAGUUUUUGGAGCCCUGUUUAUUAUGUUUAUUCAUUUUUAUUAUAAGUGUUUUCUGUUUGGUUUCACUGCUCCUCUGCGUGAGUUUUUGAUUAUUGUUCGCUUGCUUUAUUAAUUCCUGUCUGAUAUCUUUAUCAUUCCAGUAAUUUUGAGCAGUAGAUCUUAGUGGUCUUCAGUUCUAGUCUUUGGCUCUAAGGAGUUUUUGUUGCUUACUAAAUUUUCUGCUGUUUUAGUCAUGAAUUGUUAUUCUUUUUCUUUUUUUUUAGCUUCACUUCUUAUUUUGAGUUUGUUCUUGUUGGAGCGUUUGGUAUCUGGUCUUGUGUUUUUGUGUGUAUGUCUCUGUAUAGAUAGUCCAAUCAUCCCUUUUGUCAGGUAGUCUUUUGCACCACCUUUUCCUUUGUAAUUUUUCCAUGUUUCUAGUUACUGUGCAUCAAUAUUUUUGGCUUGUUUUGUGCUUUUAGAUAUGUACCCCAUCCUUCAGGAAAUCAAAUAAAAAUGUCAGUAAAGGCAAUUGAAAUAAAGCUGAAAGCCUGCACAUCCAUUGCAUGUUGACUGUUUAAUUAAAGCUCCACUGUGGUGGUGUAAAAACACAAAAUUACAAAAAGUCAUGAGCCAUUGUCCAAAAAGUUACUGACACACAUUUAUUACUGAUGAAGGUCCUUUGACUCUCUUCUAUUACACAUUACACAGUAUUAUUCUAUUUAGCAUAAUUUAUUAGAAAUAUUUAGUGUCCAGCUCUAAUGUGAAAUUGUGUAUUUUCUUGACACCAUUCUUUGCAAGAGUUCACCAUUAGAAAUAGAUACAAGCUUGACUGUAAAAGUGACACCAUCAGCAAUGUCAUGACUGGAACAGUAGGCCUAUAAUAAACCUUUAUAUGGUUAGUGCUGCACACAGGGUGGUAACAGAUUGCAGUAAAACACCAAAGAUGUGUUUUCAUUUCUAAGAAAGGAGAAGUUAUUGUAACCCAGUGUUACUUUGGUUAUCUGAUAUUCAGUAUAUAUGUAUAUAUCUAUAUUGGGUGUUCAGUUAUAAAAUGUUCUUUAAUGAUUUUGAGGUUUUUUUUUAUUGCUAUUGGUGCGCGGCUGCUUUACGACAGUCGACUGUGAUAGUACAUCCUAGCGGGAGGGCUAUGAGCUCACAUGGCUUGUAGCUGUGCCAGAGAGCAAGCUUGGGUGAGCUAGCGGGGAAUAUCUCCUUCUGCAGUAGCCUUAAAAAAAAGACUAUUGUUCGUUCUCCUGCCAGACGCCUUGCUGCUGUGCUGCCUUACUGCUGCGCUGCCUCACUGCUGUACUGCCUUACUGCUGUGCUGCCUCGUUGUCGGGCUGUCUCGCGGGUGCCAUUAAGGAUCGGCGGCUGCCAUUCAUUCAUCCAUCCGGACCUCGAUUAUUUGGACCGAAGUACUCACACACACACGCCCGCACUCAGUGCCAUACACUCUCUUUAUUUUGCUGGCCAGCUAACACCAUUGUUUUAUUUUCUUGUUGCACUCACAAAGACUACCCAAAGACAUUUUGGUUAUUGUCAAAUAGACACUCUCUGAUUACAGACUGAGGAGGUUGUGGUGUUACAACCCCAGGACUGAGAAAAAAAGACUCUUUACACAAUAUAUUCACUUGCCACCUGGUUAGAAGUGGCCAUUGAUGAAAAUAUGUUUUUACUUCCUCUUGUCUUUGUUUGCAUUGUAUCCCAGGGAAGUUCUAAGUUGUUCAGGUUGAAACAUUUGCACUUAGAGUCGGUUAAGUUUCCUUUGAUGUAUUAGUAUCAAGCUGAUGUUUAAGAGUGUAUGUUAAGGACAGAUGUGCUCCAGUCCAUCAAAACUUUAAAGUGCUGGACACCGAUGGUAAAUUGCCAUCAGACCCUAAAUAAAUUGUCCUCUGCUGUUAUCCAUAUUGCUUCACUCAUUCUUUGGUGAGUAGACGUAUUGGUUACAACUAAAAGUAGUAGGAAAAAUUGGCGCCCGAACAGGGACUGGAGCGCAUCACUAACUUUAUCCUGAAGCACAUGCAUAGACAUCUGUGAAUUCAUCUA